ensembl:lncRNA
ACUGCAUUUCUUCCUGUUAAAAAAUGUUUUCUUACCCUGCAGUGUUCUUGGCAAAAUUACUGAAACGGCUCUAUGGUGAAACUUCAUCAUCUUCUCUUGUUCAUACUUCAAGUAGAGAAGAGGAGGUGGUUCUUGAAAAUCUUGGAUCAAAAUCUAAAGAAAAGAGUUUGGAUAACAUUCAGAUUUCAUCAGCAGAUGCUAGCACAUCAACUAAUACACCCUGUGAAUCAUUUCAAGUGCUCUAGUCGAGUAUCCUCUGUAAUCUACACUUUCUCUUUUCAAUGAACUGAGGAACUUCUGGAAAUGUGAAGUGUCAGAAGGGAAGUUGUCAUGAACUGGCUUGAGUUUCAACAUGCUACCAGGCACAAGUGGUGUAUACACUAAGAACUGGGAACAGUCUUCUGUAAUAUGGCUAGGAUUCCCUGGGAUAAUAUCCUGGGAAUGAAGAUAAUACCCUGGGAAUGAAGUGAAAACAUGCUUUGUUUCAAUAGCAAAGGAUGGUGGACUUGUUUUUGUGUAAACAUAACUGAAUAAAGUAUCAGAAAUUAAGGCCAAUCAAAAAUUCUGUACUGCUGUGUGUACUAAUGUGCUGUGACCAUUAAUGUUAUAAAACAUAGGAUUGGAAUGAAAUAAGUGUAUUGUACUACUUUCCCACAAUGUUCUCCAGCAGUUGCUGCUUAAGGAUUUUCUGAGCCAGAUGACAUGUAUCUCUUUAAUUAUAAGAUUUUUUUUAAUCACUUUAUUAUUUAAAUGUAUGUAAUUGUGCAAUUUAGAAUAGAACUUUAAUUUUUGACAGUCUACUUUGCAACUCUUGCCCAGGAUUUGUGUCCUGUCUUUGUAAAUGCUUGUCUUGCUAGUCAGUGAAGGGGAAAGUUACAGUGUACAGAUAAUGAGGUGCAUUAUGUUCCUUGGGAAUUGUCAGUUUUGGGGUCAUAGUCUCACUUAUAUGCAAUAAAAAAUGAGGAAUAGCUAUAACAGGGUCGUAUUCUAGCUUACAUAAUAAGUAAAAAUCAUACUUUAAUACAAAAAUUUUAAGGGAAAUAACAGACCUCAUUCAAGCCUUAUUUUUAUCCUGGUCAUAGUGACUGUAACACCACACAGAAAAUGCCUUCUAUCAAUAAUGACUUUUAUAGAGGGUACUAGACUGAACUACUCAGACCUUGUAUUUGAUUCAGCAUCAAUUCCUCAUUUCCUGUGUAUGAUGGUUUAGGAAUGGUACUCUCAAAUUUAGUACUCCCACUAAAAGGAAAAUCACCAGCUGCCCCCCUCGCCUUCUCCAGUGGGAGACAAAAGGCGAUCAUAGAUCAAGAUAAGAACAGUUUACUGGAAGCAGCAAUGAGAUAAGGAAACAAACAGUAACAGCACUAAUACUCAUAACAAUAAUGUACAAAGAGUGGAUGAUUUACCUGCAAAAUGUUCGCUAAACCCGAGAUGCUGAAAAACAAUGGCAGACAGCUCCUCUGCCUGACAUGCAUUCCCUGUGACUGGAAAGGAGCAGCUUUCUUCUUGGAAGCAAGAGUCUCUUUUCCUAGUCCCUGGAGGUGAUGUAAGGUGGUGCCUUGGCCAUGUGCUCUGGGCACAGCACAGGGCAGCCCAGAACUCCUG